AGUGAGCGCUGGCGGUAGGCCUAACACAUGCAAGUCGAACGGCAGCACAGUAAGAGCUUGCUCUUACGGGUGGCGAGUGACGGACGGGUGAGGAAUACAUCGGAAUCUACUUUUUCGUGGGGGAUAACGUAGGGAAACUUACGCUAAUACCGCAUACGACCUACGGGUGAAAGCAGGGGAUAUUCGGACCUUGCGCGAUUGAAUGAGACGAUGUCGGAUUAGCUAGUUGGCGGGGUAAAGGCCCACCAAGGCGACGAUCCGUAGCUGGUCUGAGAGGAUGAUCAGCCACACUGGAACUGAGACACGGUCCAGACUCCUACGGGAGGCAGCAGUGGGGAAUAUUGGACAAUGGGCGCAAGCCUGAUCCAGCCAUACCGCGUGGGUGAAGAAGGCCUUCGGGUUGUAAAGCCCUUUUGUUGGGAAAGAAAAGCAGCAGGUUAAUACCCCGCUGUUCUGACGGUACCCAAAGAAUAAGCACCGGCUAACUUCGUG
rnacentral:rRNA from 1 species